GGUUUUCAUAGCUUAAUAGGUAAAGUAUUUGAUUGUGACUCAGAAAAUAUAGGUUCAAUUCCUAUUGAAAACC
rnacentral:tRNA from 1 species